GAACUUGUAAGUAAAAAGAAUCCUUAUGUAGUUAAAGAAAAAUUAGAUAGUCUUCGAAAAAAAGAAAAACAAGGAAAACUUUUACCAUUAGAAAAACAAAAAUUAAAACAUUAUGAGAAUUUAUGGAAUUUAAUAAAAGAAAAAGUAAAAAACAAAAGUUAUGUUUACAAUGACAAUGGUACAAUAUAUAAUAUAAAUGAUGACAUUGAGGAUAAAAACAAAAGAGGAAAUUUAAGCUAUUCACCUGAUCAUAGUUUAAAUAAUGAACAAAAUAAUAAUUCGGAAGUAUCAAUACAUAAUUCAUGUGAAGAUACAGAUGAAGGUACAGGUAAAUGUACAGAUACAAGUAUAGACACAGAUACAGGUACAGAUGCAGGUGUAGGUACAGAUGCAGGUGUAGGUACAGAUGCAGGUGUAGGUACAAAUGAAGGUGUAGGUACAGAUGGAGGUACAGGUACAGGUACAGGUACAAGUACAGGUACAAAUAAAGACAUCAAUAAUGAUACUGAUGAUACUGAUUUUUUUUUAGAAUCCUUACCUUCUUUACCUAAUGGAUUGCCAAAGGAAUGUAUAGAACGUCUGACAAACUCGUUUGAAAAUAAUAUAUUAAAUUAUAAUUAUAAUGCAAAUAUAUAUAACAAUUAUAAUUUACCUUACUCACAUAUUAAUACAUAUAAUAACAGGGCUUAUAUGGACAAACAGUAUUUAUAUAACUAUUAUGUUUACAAUAAAUAUUAUAGUAAUUAUAAUUAUAACAACAUUAAUAAUACUACGAGUAAUGAUGAUGGUAAAGUAGAUAAUACUACUAAUACCUCUGAUGAAAAUAAUAAAGGUAUUGACAUUACAAAUGAUAUAAAUAAAAAUAAUGUCUCUCAAGAUAUUAUAAAAAAAAAUAUGAAUACAGAUAACAACAAUAUAUGUACAAAUAAUGAAAACAUUGACAUUACCAAUAUUAAUGAUAAAGAUAUAACACAAGAAUCAACUAUAAAUAUGAAUAAUACUAAUAGUAACGAUAAAAACAGUAAUAGUAGCUAUUUGAAUAAUUACUUGAACAAUUAUAACAAUGAAUAUAUGUUAUAUAUGAAUAAUUUUUUAAAAUCAGGUGAAAAUAAUAAUAAUUAUAAUAUAAAUAAAAUGGCUAACUAUCCUAUGAAUUACUACUAUCAUAAUUAUUCUAAUUAUAAAAAUUUGAAUAACCACAAUACUAAUAAUGGUGAAAAUUAUUUUACCCAUCAAAAUAACUACUAUAUGAAGUUUAAUAACCCUACUGCUAUUAACCCUGUCGGUACUAACCCUAUCGGCACUAACCCUAUCGACACUAACCCUAUCGGUACUAACCCUGUCGGUACUAACC
rnacentral:lncRNA from 1 species